rnacentral:rRNA from 1 species
CGAACGCUGGCGGCAGGCCUAAUACAUGCAAGUCGAACGGCUCUUCGGAGCAGUGGCGGACGGGUGAGUAACGCGUGGGAAUGUGCCCUUUGGUACGGAACAACACAGGGAAACUUGUGCUAAUACCGUAUGUGCCCUUCGGGGGAAAGAUUUAUCGCCAUUGGAGCAGCCCGCGUUGGAUUAGGUAGUUGGUGAGGUAAAGGCUCACCAAGCCUACGAUCCAUAGCUGGUCUGAGAGGAUGAUCGGCCACACUGGGACUGAGACACGGCCCAGACUCCUACGGGAGGCAGCAGUAGGGAAUCUUGCGCAAUGGGCGAAAGCCUGACGCAGCCAUGCCGCGUGAAUGAUGAAGGUCUUAGGAUUGUAAAAUUCUUUCACCGGGGAAGAUAAUGACGGUACCCGGAGAAGAAGCCCCGGCUAACUUCGUGCCAGCCGCCGCAGUAACAU